rnacentral:misc_RNA from 1 species
GUGAAUCAUCGAAUCUUUGAACGCAAAUUGCACUCCCUGGCAUUCCGGAGAGUAUGCCUGUUUGAGGGUCAGUUUAAAUAAAAAUCGGUGUGGUUGUUGCCUUUCGUGGUGACGCACCGGAUUUGGUUCGUCCUUCCUUCGGUUAAGAGCUCUAAUAUUUUGCAUGAUUUUUUUCGAAGGU